GCUGCUGUAGCUCAGUGGUAGAGCGCGUCCUUGGUAAGGACGAGGUCGUGGGUUCAAUCCCCACCAGCAGCU
rnacentral:tRNA from 1 species